GAUGAACGCUAGCGGCAGGCCUAACACAUGCAAGUCGAGCGCGAAAGUUCUUCGGAAUGAGUAAAGCGGCGGACGGGUGAGUAAUACAUGGGAAUCUGCCUGGUAGUGGGGGACAACGUUUCGAAAGGAACGCUAAUACCGCAUACGCCCUACGGGGGAAAGGGGGGAUCGCAAGACCUCUCGCUAUCAGAUGAGCCCAU
rnacentral:rRNA from 1 species